rnacentral:misc_RNA from 1 species
GUUGUUUAAAUAAAAACUAUGAAACACUAGUCGAAUAAAAAGGGUAAAAUUCACCCCUUAACAGACGCCGGCGCAUUGUCAUUGAUCAGCACGUGGCAUCAAAAGACUUUCUGUCGAAUAGUCAGACAAACGGUGACAAACCGUGCUUCUUGUCUUUUCGUGAUUUUUACCCCUCAAUAUAAUAAAAAUAUAAAUAAACAAGCAAUUUUUAUUUAUUUUUUAAAUAAAAAAAACUAAAUGAUAAUUUUUUUUGUUUUUAUUUUUCUAUAUAAAAAUAUUUAUUGUAAAAAAUUUUUUUGUUUAAAAAAUUGUGAUAAUAAUUUAAAAUUGUGAUAAUGAUAUUUUAGUUUAAUUAGAAAAAAAAUAAUGACAAUAUAAAUGACGUGAAAAUAGUUCAUAAAUUAAUUUAAUUUAGAUGUGAAAAAAUUAUUUAUUUUUUUUCGAUAUAGAUAAUUUUUUUUUUUCAAAUUUUCAUUGUAGAAGAAGAAUUUAAUGCAAGGGGAGUUUAUUGAUGUGGUAAAAAAAAGUACGAGCUGGUUCAGUUAAAUAUGGAUUGAUGAUAAAUAAAAGAUAGCGGUAUGGGCCCUUGGGCCUUUGGUUUACCACUUUUCCUCAUAUCAGCAUUGGGCCUACUUGUCAAUUCUUAUGUACUUCUUGUUGUUCUUGGUCUGCGAAAACAGCCCCAACAACAACAAACAGCAAAUACACUCUUGCUAGUUCAUCUUAGUGCUGUUGAAUCAGCAGUUUGUAUUGUUUCAAUUGUAUUCAGUAUAAGUGGAUGGCCCAUAACUGACACAUGGUGUAUGUUUCAUGGAUUAUUAUUGACGUUAUUACAUCCGGUUGCACUGUGGACGGUGACAGGAUUAAAUUGUGAUAGGUAUUAUGCAAUUGCAUCACCACUACAUUAUACAGCAAAGGUAUCACCGAAACGUAUUACAAUUGGUCUUAUUGGUUCAUGGACAAUUGGAUUGUUGCUUUGUUUACCUCCAUUGUCGGGCUUUGCACCAUCAUAUGAAUAUAAUCCAGGUCUUGGAUGUUGUAUACCUGAUUUUGGUAACAAUAGUUGGGGUAUUAGUGGAUUAAUAUAUUCAAUUAUUUAUAUAUUCAUUGGUCUAUUGUUACCGGCAAUACUUGUUACAAUAUGUAAUUUACGUAUUUUAAGUAUUGCCAGAUAUCAUCGUCAUCGUAUUGCAAGUGCAAUUUAUGAAGUUACAUUGAGUGCACAAGUUACAAUAACACAUCAAAGAAAUCCAUUUUUUAUACCAACAAUUACAGCACCAAGUUCUGGUGGACCACCAAAAUUUCACAGUGCAGCAAGUACAGUCAUGCAGUUAGUCGGAUCAUUGUAUUUAUUGUAUUUACCAUAUUGUGUAUUAAUAUUAUGGGAAUUGGUGUGUAAUGGUAAACAUUUUCAUGUUCAUCCAAAAAUACUGUCCUUGGCCUCACUAUUAUUGGCCAGUUCACCACCCAUUAAUGGUUUAUUAUAUGGCCUCAAGUCACGAACUCUACGUCGUUCUGUUCAGAAUUAUUGGCGAAAAAAAAUAACGAAAUCCGAAUUGCAGCAGGAAAUUCAAGCAAGAACACCAAGUGUAGCUGGAUCAAGAAGACCAUCAGCAAGUGGUCCAGUAUCAUUAUUUCCAUUUCCUCCACUUCAAAGAAGAUUAAGUGAAGCAUUAUUAAAUUUAGGAACAAAAUCACAAAAUUCUGGCUUUGAUAAUAAUAACGUUAUUGGUUUCAAUAAAACAAAACUUCAAUCAGCAGCAUCAUGCAAUACAUUACGAGUACCAACAACUGAAUCAAAUGAAAGUAACACAAGAGUUGUGAGAACAAGCACAAGUGCAGCAAGUUUAAUGGGUCAUUUUAAAAAUGAUAGAGAACAAGUUGAUAUUAAUUUAUCAGUAUUUGAUACAUCAAAGAAAAGUCCAAGAAUAUUAAUAACACGUACUGAAAGUUUAGAUUGUGAUAGUCCAAUUAUAAAACGUACAAGUAUUACAAAAAAUAAAAAUUCCAUCAUAAAUGAGAAAGAACGUGGAUUGAGACAAAUGAGUGCAGGUAGUGACAGCAGUACUGGCAGUAGUGAAACAAAUGUUUGGACAACAAAAAUAUUGCCAAAAACAAGUGGUACUAAUUUAAAUAAUUCAAUGGACAAUUGGCCAACUGGUAAACGUUUUACUCGUGUUAGAACACUUGAAGAUAUGAUGCUUGCUAGUAAUCGAGCUAGUAAUAAUAGUGAAAGUAGUGAUACAACUGAUACAACAACUGCCACAACAAUAGCAUCAUCAACAUCAACAACAACAACGAUUUUACCAACAAAAUCAAUAACUAUGGGUGAAAGAAAAAAUGUCAUUACCUAAGAUAAAUAUACAACGAAAGUUAAUCUUCAAAGUUUCAUUGUCUACCAGGCGACAAUCCGUCGCCUAUCGGUCCCUUGGAAAUACAGCAGGUGAUAAAUUGAGUCUAUGCGAAAAUACGACACGCUUUUGAAAAACGGCAAACGAACAAUCAACAUGUGACGAUGAAAACUUGAAUGAUAAAUUUCAUAUAAGUAAUGAUGACGGUGAUGAUAAUGAAGAAAGUCAAACAAA